UACGGAGGGGGCUAGCGUUGUUCGGAAUUACUGGGCGUAAAGCGCACGUAGGCGGCUUUGUAAGUUAGAGGUGAAAGCCCAGGGCUUAACCCUGGAAUUGCCUUUAAGACUGCAUCGCUAGAAUCGUGGAGAGGUGAGUGGAAUUCCGAGUGUAGAGGUGAAAUUCGUAGAUAUUCGGAAGAACACCAGUGGCGAAGGCGACUCACUGGGACACGUAUUUGACGCUGAGGGUGCGAAAAGCGUGGGGGAGCAAAACAGGG
rnacentral:rRNA from 1 species